rnacentral:rRNA from 1 species
GACGAACGCUGGCGGCGUGCUUAACACAUGCAAGUCGAACGGAAAGGCCCUGCUUUUGUGGGGUGCUCGAGUGGCGAACGGGUGAGUAACACGUGAGUAACCUGCCCUUGACUUUGGGAUAACUUCAGGAAACUGGGGCUAAUACCGGAUAGGAGCUCCUGCUGCAUGGUGGGGGUUGGAAAGUUUCGGCGGUUGGGGAUGGACUCGCGGCUUAUCAGCUUGUUGGUGGGGUAGUGGCUUACCAAGGCUUUGACGGGUAGCCGGCCUGAGAGGGUGACCGGCCACAUUGGGACUGAGAUACGGCCCAGACUCAUACGGGAGGCAGCAGUGGGGAAUAUUGCAAAAUGGGCGGAAGCCUGAUGCAGCAACGCCGCGUGCGGGAUGACGGCCUUCGGGUUGUAAACCGCUUUCGCCUGUGACGAAGUGUGAGUGACGGUAAUGGGUAAAGAAGCACCGGCUAACUACGUG